rnacentral:piRNA from 1 species
UCUGCCCCUUGUGGGGAGCCUCACGCUGU